AGAGUUUGAUCAUGGCUCAGAUUGAACGCUGGCGGCAGGCCUAACACAUGCAAGUCGAACGGUAACAGGAAGCAGCUUGCUGCUUUGCUGACGAGUGGCGGACGGGUGAGUAAUGUCUGGGAAACUGCCUGAUGGAGGGGGAUAACUACUGGAAACGGUGGCUAAUACCGCAUAACGUCGCAAGACCAAAGAGGGGGACCUUCGGGCCUCUUGCCAUCAGAUGUGCCCAGAUGGGAUUAGCUUGUUGGUGAGGUAACGGCUCACCAAGGCGACGAUCCCUAGCUGGUCUGAGAGGAUGACCAGCCACACUGGAACUGAGACACGGUCCAGACUCCUACGGGAGGCAGCAGUGGGGAAUAUUGCACAAUGGGCGCAAGCCUGAUGCAGCCAUGCCGCGUGUAUGAAGAAGGCCUUCGGGUUGUAAAGUACUUUCAGCGGGGAGGAAGGUGUUGUGGUUAAUAACCACAGCAAUUGACGUUACCCGCAGAAGAAGCACCGGCUAACUCCGUGCCAGCAGCCGCGGUAAUACGGAGGGUGCAAGCGUUAAUCGGAAUUACUGGGCGUAAAGCGCACGCAGGCGGCCUGUCAAGUCGGAUGUGAAAUCCCCGGGCUCAACCUGGGAACUGCAUUCGAAACUGGCAGGCUUGAGUCUUGUAGAGGGGGGUAGAAUUCCAGGUGUAGCGGUGAAAUGCGUAGAGAUCUGGAGGAAUACCGGUGGCGAAGGCGGCCCCCUGGACAAAGACUGACGCUCAGGUGCGAAAGCGUGGGGAGCAAACAGGAUUAGAUACCCUGGUAGUCCACGCCGUAAACGAUGUCUACUUGGAGGUUGUGCCCUUGAGGCGUGGCUUCCGGAGCUAACGCGUUAAGUAGACCGCCUGGGGAGUACGGCCGCAAGGUUAAAACUCAAAUGAAUUGACGGGGGCCCGCACAAGCGGUGGAGCAUGUGGUUUAAUUCGAUGCAACGCGAAGAACCUUACCUGGUCUUGACAUCCACAGAACUUUCCAGAGAUGGAUUGGUGCCUUCGGGAACUGUGAGACAGGUGCUGCAUGGCUGUCGUCAGCUCGUGUUGUGAAAUGUUGGGUUAAGUCCCGCAACGAGCGCAACCCUUAUCCUUUGUUGCCAGCGGUCCGGCCGGGAACUCAAAGGAGACUGCCAGUGAUAAACUGGAGGAAGGUGGGGAUGACGUCAAGUCAUCAUGGCCCUUACGACCAGGGCUACACACGUGCUACAAUGGCGCAUACAAAGAGAAGCGACCUCGCGAGAGCAAGCGGACCUCAUAAAGUGCGUCGUAGUCCGGAUUGGAGUCUGCAACUCGACUCCAUGAAGUCGGAAUCGCUAGUAAUCGUGGAUCAGAAUGCCACGGUGAAUACGUUCCCGGGCCUUGUACACACCGCCCGUCACACCAUGGGAGUGGGUUGCAAAAGAAGUAGGUAGCUUAACCUUCGGGAGGGCGCUUACCACUUUGUGAUUCAUGACUGGGGUGAAGUCGUAACAAGGUAACCGUAGGGGAACCUGCGGUUGGAUCACCU
rnacentral:rRNA from 1 species